rnacentral:lncRNA from 1 species
CGUGGAAUCCGUUGAUGACAACUUUCUGGUCCAGGUAGUGGACAGACCAACCAGAGGUGAAGCGUUGCUGGACCUGCUGCUCACCAAUGCAGAAGAGAUCAUCAAAGAUGUCAAUGUUGAAGGCAGCCUGGGCUGCAGCAACCAUGCCCUGGUUGAGUUCGUGAUCUUGAGGGAUGUGGGCCUGACAAAGGGUGGGGUCAGGACCCUGAACUUUGGAAGAGUGAACUUUAAGCUGUUCAAUGGAUUGUUGGCCAAGAUCCCCUAGGAUGCUGUCCUUAAAGAUAAAGAUGUUGAGGAGAGCUGGCCACUCUUCAAGGAUGCCCUCCUGAAAGCACGAGAGGUCUCCAUCCCUCUGAAUAGGAAAGUGGGCAGACGAGACAGGAAACCGGCAUGGCUCGGCAACGACAUGCUGGGCACACUGAGGGCAAAGAAAGGAAUGAUGACAUCAACUGAACAAAAUAUGAACUGAUUGAGGGCUUGUGACUUUUAAGGAUUUAUUUCAAAGGGAAACAGAACAAAUGGAUCACUCAGAGGUGAAUCAUAGAAUCAUCUAGUUUGGAAAAGAUCUUCAAGAUAAUCAGGUCCAAACAUCCACAUAAAGCAUCAAGUCCUGCCUUUUCCUAAAUGCCACAUCCACAUAUCUGUUAAAUACCUCCAGGGCAAAAAAACCUGUAAUUGCAAAAAUCCUAUGAUGCUUCACCAAAUUAACUUCCUUUAAUCCUUAGCUUCCAAAGUGUCAAGCAAUAUGUAGGAAAAUCACAGCAGAAAAGGGGAAACACUGAUGGUUGAUUAAGUCAUCUGUAGAGACUUCACACUCAGAAGUCCCCCAGCUGAGUUAUGCCCCUUCGUCACGGAAUUCACACCCCACCCCCUCCACUGACGCAAACUUCAGAGAGCAGCUCCAUGGAGGAUAACCUAAGUGCUGCCUGCAGAGCUAAGUGUGCUGUCCUUGCUUGUUAUUGUAGCAUUGAUAUACAUAUCUUCCUUUCCUCAUUUGUUAUAUCCUAAUGUCAUUAGGACAAGCCUGCAGCAAUUUUAAACGCUGGCUGCACAGCCUCUUUGACGUCAUUACAGAAAGGUCUCGAGUGCAGACCCUGCAUAUACUGUCUGUGAUAUAGUGUAUAAAAAUCCAUGUCAGUGCUGGCUCUCGGGGAGCACUGGAAAUGAUUCAGCUGUCUGGAAUGGGCAGAUGGCUGCUAUCAAAGUUUUAUUAUCACCAUCAUUAUUAUUACAGUGGUUUGUGACACAUGCUGAACUUUAAGACUGGUGUAAAAGCUUAAGUAUUUGAGCAACACUUUCUGAAAUUCAAAUCCUUCAAAUCCUUUCCAAUCUAACUCCAAAAAGCAGGAGUACGUUUCAAGCUAAUUAGACAUAUUGCUUGGUUUCACUUCCAACUUUCAGAGUAAUUAUCUCAAAAUUCUUGUUCUCUUGUAAACGCAAAUGUUCACUAUUUUUAAUUGCCUUGAUUUAUUGCAGAACUUAAAUUCAGUACAUGCUGAAAGUUCAGCAGGGUGGAAAGAAAAUUUGAGUUUGUUUAAGGGAGCACAUGGAUAGGAUUGUGUACUGUGGCCUCUGUUUAGAAAAGCUCAUCGUUAACCUAUGCUAACAGGAACUGCUUGCUGGAGGCAUCCUCUAAAACUAACCAUACCGAGGAGUACAGAAUUAAUUGAUACAGAUUUCUUCAACUUGCAACAUGAACAGAUUUACUUGGAUGUUGUAAGAGUGACAUUUCGUUUUCAUCUCUGUAGCUGCUACCUCUGCUGCUUUGUGUAUUUGAAUAUUUCAGUUCUCACAGGGUUCUCUUCUGACGCAUCAGUAGACGGCUGAAGGUUUUUCUCGGUCAUCCUGAGACUGGCUCAGACUAUGUUAUGUUGGCUGUCUGUCUGUGCUUUGUACUUGUCUUUCGUACGGCCUCCAUGGCUCACCAGCAUGAGGUAUAGAUCAACUACUGCUGCCUAUGCCACUGCCUUUUGUGAUUCCUUUUUGUGGUUAUAUUUAGCCCUGAAUGCUAUGGUAUUGGCUUUUGAAUUCUCUGUUCUGGCCAAGUUUUUUGUUUAAGUUGUUGUCCUUUUAGUUUUACUGUAACUGGUCUGUCAGCAGGGGUCCUCUCAGCACAGUAAUGACUCAUGAACAUAUUUCCAUUUCCAGGAGGGCGUAUUGUGGUUGGCCAGCACUGCUAGGCAGACAUCUUAUCCUUCUUGUUCUGCCUUUACCAUCAACAUCCACAUUAUAAUUUCUCAGGCCAGGCAUCACUUUGUGCUUUUAUUUCUUCCCAAAUCUUUGAAAUCAGCUAUCAGGUACUGUGGACCACUUUUUCAGUAUGGCCUGUUGGAUAUGCAGCCAAAGUGUUUUUGUUUUUGUUUUCCUAAUCUCAUUUUUCUAUAUGUCCUGAAAUUGGGCUAGUAAAUUCUUGUAAUGACAGCAUUUUGGGAAGUGAAAGCAAAGAAUUGGACUUAAUUCUUUUUCAAAAGUAUUCAUUUUCUGUGGUUGUAGCAUUCUCCUGCUGUCAGGUAUCAAGGCAUUUGCCCAGCUUCUACUAGAUAUUUAAAACAGGGCCAGGGUUUUUUUCACCAACUAAGACUGGAUUUAUUCUGAUUUAAAUAACAAAAUUUUGCAUCCAGAUAAGUGUGCAUUAAUUACAGUAAUGGCAUGAAUCAUGGAUUAGGUGAGGUUGGCUGAGGAGGCAUUUCUGGAGGCCAUUUGGGUCAACCUCCACUCAAGCAGGGACACCCAGAGCUGGCGGCCCAGAAGCAUAUCCAGAUGGCAAAGAGACACUCAGUCUAUAGUUCUUGUAACUAACCUACAGAUUCUCCCCACAGUCCAGGGAAAUUACACUUAAGCAGCUUGUAGGAUUUUUAUUGAAAGUCAAAGAUAACUUGAAUUCAAAAGUAGCUAGUGAGAAGCAUGACAGCAAAUAUUUGGAAAGGUCAGUAGACUGCUGGGAUGAUACAAUCUCAGGCAGUGGAACAGGAGUAAGAGAAAAGAGAUUGAUAACACUAAUGCUGUAUGAUAGUGACAGAGCAAAUUGUCCCUUUUUACAGAUCUUUUAGACAACUUUAUUUUCUACCAUUGUAUGUGGGAACAUGUUUAGUUUUUUUAGUUGUUUAGUUUUCCACUGAGACCAGAGCCUGAUGAUUUCUCUUGUUCCCUUAAAGUACAUCCAGAAUAUUUAACACACUGGCCUUCCAGCUUAUCACAUGCUUUCUGUUUCUCAGUGACUUUUUUUGAGUUCAAAUCAUUGAGUGCUAAUGCAAAAACCUAAGAGAAUCAGUUCCCCUGUGCUAUGCUUGUGGAAAAAACCUUUGCAAAUAAAAGUCUGAUAUUAAAGUGGGGUGGAGGGAAAAAGAAGGUAACUGUAUUACCUGACUGAUCAGUGCUGCUUUAGUCUGUAUUCAGUAAAUUCACUUAUGAAUGAUAUUUUUCCCUAAAGCAGUGUUUCCCAGAUAUUGAUUGCUGCGGUUGGUAAUGGAUCUAGAGGCCAGCCAGCUUCCAGUGACGCAGUUUCUAGGAACAUGGACAGUGCCAGUCUGAGCUCCAAAAAUCAAUCGCAUAGAGAUGGUUUAUGGUUUGUAACUGUCAGAAAUAGUGGCAGCAGUGUGGCAUUACAGGACGCUGCCCUGUGUCUGUAGACAAAGUGUGUUUUCUGGAAGAGCAGGAUCUUUCCCUCUGCAGAUUUUGGGUACCUCACCUGUUACCAGAGAGAGCAGAGCUGCUUAAGAGCUCAUGGGAGGAAGGACUAGUGAUUGCCAUGCAUGUCUCUUUUCCCUCUGUCAUAAUUGCCUGGGCAGUUAUUUCUCUUCCUACCUGGCAAAACUGGCUGUGUAACACUCAGUGGUGCCAGUGCUCAUCUCCUUCUGUUCCUCAGGGAAACUUACUGUGUCUCAGCCUAGUUUUUUCCCCUUUUUUUUGUCUGAAAAGCCUGGUUCCUUAGUGGGGGUCACAAGCACCACAAAUCUCAAAACGGGAAGGAAAAAAAUAUGUUACUAUUCCAGAUGCUGUUGCUCUCAUAGUAUCAUUGAAUGUUGCUUAUCACACUGCAAUUUAAGUGGAAUGGAAUCUCUUGAGGGACUUAAAAUAACUUUAUCACCAAAUGAAGGCAAGUUUAGUGAGCCUGUCUGUGCUGUUUUCAGUUAGAAUCUCUGGUAGCACUGAGCAGUCUGUCCAGGAAGCUGUUUCCGUAUCAUCUACAGUUUGUCUUAAACUCUACACCCAUUUGAUAGCAGGUAAUGAACAGGUUUUGCUGACAUUCUUCAUAUACAUUCUCUCAUCUUUCCCCAGUAAUUAGCAUGACACAUAGAAGCACAGAGAGGUAGAGUGGCUCAUGCAGACUAAUUUACUCAGUGUUUGGAUUUCAAUGAAUAGCUUAUAAAAAGAUAUGUAUGCUCUCUUCUAUCCCCUUACCUGAGAUAUUCAGUCCACCUCCCUCAGCUUUCUACCAUGACAGCUUGCUUCUAUGGUUGUGAGAGCAUAAGCUGCCUGUCCUGUCUCAGAUGUGCAUCUGACCUUGAUUUCAGAGGCAAAAAGAGAAUGAAAGGAGAUUUGCAGCCAAAAUCAGUUAAUAAUGAGGUGAAAUUAUGUAGGACAAAUCGACUUUAAAAGGAUAAAUGAAGUCAUGUGGAGUUGUGUAAUAUUGCAGUCAGUCUACCACCCACAUCCAAGCUAGUUCUUUAAAAUUGCCUAUUUCUGGGACCAUGGACUUCUGAAUAGUUGUGGCCCUCUGAUCUAUAUGCCCAAAUCUUGAGAUCAAGACCACAGGCAUCUACUUAUUGAGGAGCAAUAAGAAGGGUGAUCUGGAAAUCGUAUGAUUUCCAUGCAUAUGAUGCUACCUCCUGAGAGAUCCUGUCACUGUACCCUAGGGCUAAGUCUGGUGUGCAGCUGAGUCCUGCAUCAGGCUGGCAGUGUUCAUCUUGGCAAUUCCUUUUGCUGUAUUUCCCUUGUAGCUGGGAUCUGGAUUGCCAGCACUGUGCUGCUCUUGGUCAUGGCAUUUGGUUUGGCAGCAGAUGUUAUCCCUCUUAGAAAAAAGAUGCCCCAGUAAAAGGUUGGAUGGAACCUUGAGCAAGCCUGAUCUGGUACAUGGCAAUCCUGGGGAGAGUAAGCUCAAUGAUUUUUAAUGUCCCUUUCAACCUAAGCCACUCGUUGCUUCUAAAUGGAGAAAAGAAUGAGGAGGGAAUUAUUUUCUGCAGGAGUCGUGUCUUACUCAGGCACAUUAGCUUAUCACCCAACCAUAUCCAACAAGUAAUACCACUGUGCGGGGCUCCUGAAUUCCAGCCCUCAGGCAGCAGCCUGCUUUGUGAUCUCUCAUUCAUCUCCAAAGACAAGUGUAGUGGGCUGGAACCAGGACAGACAGUUCAGAUUAAUCAGACUGUGAGCCUAGAGUUUACAUGGUCAGGGGUAAGUGUGUUCUUGAAAUAGGAUUGGCCCAGAUCAAGGAGAAGUAAAGCACAGUUUGUAUGUUUUGAUGUAAGAUUAAAGUCAGAGAAAUGUGAACAAAAACAGACCAAGAUUUUUAAGAUGUUUAUAUUUUUAUUAUUUAUAGAAAUCCUGACAGAGUGUUUUUUUUUCUGAGUGCUCUAAAAUGCAUUGGAACCUGACCUACUUUCUUCUCAGGUUUACCUACCUACAUUUUCCGUAGCUCUGGAGGACACGUCAGCUGCAGACAAGAAGAAAAAAUGCACUAGCUUCAUAAAAUUACAAUACGAUCUCUUAGUUUGGCUGGUGAUUGCAUUCUAAAAGGUAUCACAGCCAGGACACAGAGUCAACUGCAAGAGAUAAGAGGGCUGCUCCCAAAGUAAUGCCUUCUAUUUUAUUAUUUUGGCUCACAAUGUCAGAAUCAGAUGUUGAUGAUAUGGCAGUAGAGAUUGAAUCUUCCCACCAAUGUUUCAUUGCAUUUUGUUGCUGUGUGACAAAUGGCAGCAGAGAGGCAGUCUGACAGAAUGAUGUUUGACAUGGAAGUGCAUAUGAAGCAAAGGUGUGACAUUGAAUUCCUCUAUGUGGAAAAAAAUGACAUCCACUGACAUUCAUGGAUACUUGCUGAACGUUUCUGGAUAUCAAACGGUGAAUGUUGGCACAGUGAUGCUGUGGGUGGUGCAUUUCAGUAGUGGCAACAGUGGGUCAACUCCAGUAGUACAGAUUUUUACAAGUGCAGAAUGCAGGCUUUUGUUCAUCACUGGUAAAAAUGCAUAGUUACUGGUGGUGACUGCGUGGAAAAGUUUUCUGUAGCUGAGAAUUUGCUCUGUCAACUAGUAUUAUCGUGCUUUUUGUAUCUGCUGUAGUUUCCAUGGAAAUAAAUAGGAGGCGUUACUUUUGGAGUGAUCUACAUAAUGUUCUCAGGCUUGUUCACAUAAACAAAUCCAUUCCUUUCUAAACCAUGAAAGUGUCUGUGUGUGGAUGUGCACAGGUUUAAUAGUACAGAAUUAUCUAUAAAGUAUGUGAGAUAGUGUUUUGAGAGAGGAAAUAAGAAGGAAGGAAACAAUGAGGAGCUCUGGAAGGCAGAAAAUGCUAUUUUCGAGUUGGAGUCAGUAUGCCAUAAGUAUCUAAUUUCACAGAUACUUAAUGUCACGUAUAUCAUGCUCUCAUAGAUAUUUAAUACACUUUAUUUUUGUACAUGCUAGUAACAUGCCACAGUAUACUUCUAAAAACCACAAAAAGACAACAUUAAUGGGAUUCUAACUUACUUGAUUUUCUGGGACUUCACUGCAAGAAUAGCUCAAAAAGCUAAAAGAUGACCUGGUGUUUGAGAGAGAGAAAGGGAUUGUAUAUUGAUACUAAUUUCCACUGAGAUCAUUUGGCUGCAGCAUCCAAAGAGAACAUUCUCAUUAACUAUUGCUCAGUUAAAAUUUAAUAACUUGGAAAAAAAAAAAAAAAAAAAAGGCAAAGGUGACUGAAAUACAGUGUCUGGAUGCAGCUAGAUUUUUGGCCACCUUGGGUUCCCAGUCCUCUGUAUUCUAUGCACAAUACUUUGGCCAGAACAAAAUACUAUAGAUGUGAGAAAAAAAUGUACUGCAUCAUCGUGAUCUAAAGCACAUGUCUCAGCCACUCCAUCUUUCCUCAAAAUUUAGCCAGUGGCAACACAUUAUAACACUUAUGAGUCCAUUCAGCACAGGGCUGUGUUACACGUGUAUGCUGGCCUAUUCAUUAAAAUUCAGAAGUUGUAAAGCAUUAAACUUGCCUACUACAAGGAUUUUUUUGUAUGGAUAGUCCAGACAGGCUCAUAAAAGUCCCCGGUGCUUUACAUUCUAGAUUGAACUCUACGACAAUAAAGCUCCUUGAAAUUACAUGUAUAUGGAACUAAACUAAAUACCACAAUGUAAAGAAAACUGUCAAAGCACCACACUGUGUUCUUAAAUGGCCAACUUAAUCACUCUCAGUAAGGUUAGUAUCUGUGCAGUAGCUGAAUUAAGCUGUUCUUAUAUUUCACAGCUAGAGUUCCAGUAAAAUUGGAGCAUGAUAUUCAAAUACCUUCCUCUCCAUUGAAGAUUUUACUCAUAGUCUCAAAAUAAAUGUUUUCUGGAAAUAAUUUUUGUGAAGAAAGCUAAUAUGAAUAAGUGUAGGGUGUACAAUAGACUGCCUUUUAGCUAAUCCAUCUAUUUUAUCAUUCUUACCUGAGAAGAAGCAUUUUUUCUUCACCUUUCAUGAAAGUUUCAGUGUUAGAUUUGCACAUUCUAUAAAAUACUUACAUGUGUAACACAGCAAGUAUGUGCAAUCCUGCUGAUGCAACAAAUGCUGUGAAAGAACUUUCAGACCUUGUGGCAAAGCAUCAUCUGUGACAGCCACAGAGUCAGUCUGCAGGUAGGUGCAUGUCAGGUAAACCAUGGCUUUUCAGAUUUCACAUUUUUAGAAAUGAUUCAGAGUACUUACUGGAACAAAGUAGCUAAUGAUCUUGUCUAAAUAAUUAUGACAAGAAUAGAUGAUAUGAUUUUCCUAGCUGAAAUGACAGUAGUAAAAAGUAGGUAAAUCACUGAGUCUUGAAUUAUGGUUUGGGGACUGCUUUCUUUUUCUUUUUCUUUUUCUUUUUCUUUUUCUUUUUCUUUUUCUUUUUCUUUUUCUUUUUCUUUUUCUUUUUCUUUUUCUUUUUCUUUUUCUUUUUCUUUUUCUUUUUCUUUUUCUUUUUCUUUUUCUUUUUCUUUUUCUUUUUCUUUUUCUUUUUCUUUUUCUUUUUCUUUUUUUCUUUUUCUUUUUCUUUUUCUUUUUCUUUUUCUUUUUCUUUUUCUUUUUCUUUUUCUUUUUCUUUUUCUUUUUCUUUUUCUUUUUCUUUUUCUUUUUCUUUUUCUUUUUCUUUUUCUUUUUCUUUUUCUUUUUCUUUUUCUUUUUCUUUUUCUUUUUCUUUUUCUUUUUCUUUUCCUUUUCCUUUUCCUUUUCCUUUUCCUUUUCCUUUUCCUUUUCCUUUUCCUUUUCCUUUUCCUUUUCCUUUUCCUUUUCCUUUUCCUUUUCCUUUCUUUCUCUUCCUCUUCUUCUUCCCCUUCCCCUUUCCCUUUUCUUUUUCUUUUUUUAAUUGUUUCACUUAAAUCCUCAGCCAAUAUCUUAUAGAUGUAUUUGUAAAUGCUUAUACACACACGCGUAUACUUUAGCUUCUAUGUGCACACUAUAAAUUAUACCUUUUAAAGAUGAAUUCCUUUACCAACUUGAGAUUCUGUAGCAAUCCCUGUAAACUAGAAAAUGCAGCAACAAUGAGUAAUCACUGGAUUUCCACGUGCUUUCCAUUUUAACAUUUAAAUGGAAUUUACAUUUAAAAGUUCCUUACAUUUUCACUUCAGCAUUUCCUAUGUCCCAUUCAGCAUCAUCCUUGUUGGAAUUAUGGUGACCUCUGGCAGACAAGCAAGUAGGAAGUUGGGAGUCAUGAAUUCUGACACUGUUCCAAUGCCAAAUGUGGCACAAUGGGUCGAAGUUACUUUGAGGGUGUCCAUAGCUGCACUGAGGAAACCACAACUAUGCAGGUAUCUGCUUGCAAAAAUAGGAUAAACAAAUCUGUAUCCUUCUUUGACCAGGACAUCACAUCCUAAAAAUAUGUAUGACAGAGCUGCAGUUUACACUAUAUUUCUUUCAUCAGUUGGACUUUAUAGCCAAUAGGAAAGAAGCAUAGUGUUGUUCCCUGCCUGGAUUUAUGGCCUUGCCUUCAUUAUUUCUAUAAUUCUUUAUUGCUGCAAGUCCUGGGAAAGCUUAUAUUUCAGCAAGAUGUAACUGAGUCCUCUAAGAGUGAUGACCAAUCAGAUGAAAGCCUGUCCCGAUGUAUCCUGAGGCAUUUGUUCAGGUCUUGCCCUGGACUGAUGCAGGCAGCCACUUCCUAUGGCCCUGCUAUGGUUGGACAACACGUAUGGAAAUGGAAGGUGCUUUCCUAAUCUGACACUACUCUGAAAAAGAAUUACAAGAACUACUAUUUCAAUCAAAAAAAUGUUUGACCUUGCUUAUAUGGACUUGGAUCAAAAUGACAGUGUAAAGAACAAUAUAUUCAGUUGCUCAGCAAAGCCCAUAGAAUUCUGCAUACUGCUUGGAAAUGCAACCCCAGUAAAAUCAGGGAAUUAGGAGCUGUGUCGGAAAACAUAUCUGGACUCCAUUUCACAUAUUCUCUGAGAUUCACUAAAAUAUUCAUCAAGAGAGAUUCUAUGACUCCAAGGCAGAAUUUAAUGGGACCAGAACUGAGGCGGAUUGUUGAGGAUGCUUGUACAGAGGCCAUAAUGUCUGUAUAAAAUGUUAUAACUUGCAAUCAUAUUCCUGACCUGAUCCAGCAGGAAUGAUAUAAAUACCAGUGUUUUAGCUGGUCUGGGAUAGGCAUUAAUCUACCUCCUGCUUUCACUGAUACAAAGAGGAACAAAGAAAUAUAUAUCUCCAAUAAUUAUACAAGAUAUCCUCCAGCAGUAAUGCCUCCUAUUUUAUGACAUUGGCCAUGGUGUCAGAGGCACAUGUUGGUGGUAUGGCAGUAGAGCUUGAAACUCCCUGCCAAAGUUCCAUUCCAUUCUCUUGCUGUGUGAUGGUUGGCAGCAGAGGGGCAGUCUGACAGAACGUUGUCUGGCAUAGAAGUGAACAUGAAGUAAAGGUGUGUUGCUGAAUUCCUCCAUAUGGAAAAAAUAGCACCCAUUUACAUUCACUGGUGCUUGCUGAAUGUUUCUGGAGACCAAACAGUGAAUGUGAGUACAGUGAAGUGGUGGGUGGUGCGACAGCAGAGGCGACAGUGACAGUGGUUCACCUCUGCUGGUACAGAUUUUUCCAAGUGCAGCAUGAAGGCUCUUGUUUGUGGCUGACAAAAAUGCAUAUCUAAUGGUGAUGACUAUGUUGAAAAAUUGGGUUUUGUAGCUGAGAAUUUGCUCUAUCAAAUAGUGUUAUUGUGGUCUUCAUUGUAGUUUCCAUGGAAAUAAAUAUGAACCAUUACUUUUGAAACAACCUGCGUAAUUUAACUGGAAAUUUAAAACCUAUGUGUAACAAAGAGAAGAUUAAUGUAACGGAAGAGCUUUCUAACAAGAAUUCUAAAUCCUAAUUUGAUAAAGCCCAAAUCCUAAUUUAGUUAACAUAGAACUUGAUCUGCCUAUGAAAGGGAUUAUGUAUGUCAUUGCCUGUAAUUGCCAAAUGGAAAUGGAAUACCUCAACAGGCCCAUUCCAAUCUCAUAUUUUUAAAAAGCCUUCUAUAUUUUUGUAUUCAUUUUUCUACCAAAUGGGGAUGGUUUUUGAGCUUAAAAUAUGAUGGAAAAAUUGAACUGUUCCUUUCUUAACUCUUUUGUAUAAACACCUGUAAACUCAAUCUUUGUAAAAGUUUGAGUGAUUGGUCAAGUUGCCCAAAUGGCAACAAAGUUUUGUACAUUUUUAUUCAUUUGCAUUCUUAGUUAUGCUUGUAUUUCUAAAGUUUAUCUCCUCUACAGGGAAGAAGAAGUGACAAAGAGCUGAUGUGAGAGACAGAAAUUAUCAACAAAUGAAUCCUAAAAUGCUUAAAAAUUUUUCUUGUUAGUAUAAUUUUUUUUUCAUCUUCUCUUUUCUGCCUGCUUAUUUCAAAUCUGAAAGACCUGCAAAAUAUUUUUAAAAAGGAAUGCACCAUAUUUUCAACAGGAAAAUUUGUGAAACCAUGAUCAUAAGAUCUUACGUUAUCUUUCCCUUCCUUUGAAAUGACAGAGAUCGUUAAGAACUUAUUUAUAUAUUGUGUAACUUUAUUACUGAAUUCAUUCACAAUUAUCUGUGAAAAGACUAUGGAACAGUUGGUCCUAGUUACCAUAAUUGUCAUAACCAGGAUAGAAUUGAUUAAAAUUCAAUUGCAGGUCCAUCAGUUGUAGGCAUCUAAGAAAACAUCAAUUCUUUUGAAUUUAGGAGGAGUAUUAGAAAGACAUAUAUAGCUUGUUCUAAAUUCUCAAAAAUCUCCUGAGAAAAAAAAGUGUGAGAAAGUAAGAACUAGGUAGUCCAUAGUGAUACAGAUGUAUUAUAUGGAGUACUUGUUUUCAAACUAACACAAGAAAACAUGAAGAUUUAUGACUAAUUAAUCUAAAACAGUUACAGGUACAUCUUAUCUGACAAGUGGUUUGUCAUUCACAGUAUGUAAAACUAAACAGUUUUAGCAUCUAAAAUGCUAAAAGAAUGACACUGUUAUCUGAUAAGAUGUACUAAAAACAUUCAUAAAAAUAGGUAUUGGAAAAGGUGAAUUGAGGUCUUUAACAAAAUAAAUUUACUAUUCGUAGACUUUCAUUCUUCCUGUCACCUUUGAAAAUACAGAUAUUUGUCUGUCAGGAUAUAAAAGAGUCCAUUCCUUCUUAUGUGAUUUAUGGGAGGUGGAAGGCCAGUUUUAGU